GAAUGUCAAGCAGAGCUGGCUUUGAUCUGUUAUCCCAUAUACCACCGUGGUUGAUUUGGCUGAUCUAGCUGGUUAGUUAGAUGUUCCCUUUUUCCUUCAACAUUUCAUGUGUGUCUCUCCCAAAGCUUUGUACCACUAUCAAAGAAGAUGACCUUCCCAGAAGGAUGAAGACCAAUUUUCAGUCAAGAGUACAUGAAUAGCUAGCUGUUCUUUCUCGAUAGAAUCUUCAAAUAAGUUCUCACGGGAAACAAAUGUGCCACUUUCCAAACUCUUGCUGGGGCACCUACCUGAUUUGCAACACUGAAGCCUAAUCAAGAGAGAUUU
rnacentral:snRNA from 1 species